GAGCGCUGGAAAUGUUCGACUUUGAACUUCUUCUGGAGAGACCAAUGUGUGUGAUGUGGUCUCACUUUGAACGAAUGCUGAACUGGACCAAUGGGAGCAACAUCAUUAUCAAGAAAUUGGACAAGUCCAUUCAGAGUGUUGCCUACCUUCUCAGCAUUCAGGAGGAUCAUGUCUGCAAGGUGGUGGAAUCAAAGGGAUAUAGCUACAUCUAAUUUGAGUCAUCGUGGGCAGCGCCAUCGGCUAUCAAGUGGCACGACGGGAUGCUGUUGAACGACUGCCAAGUGAUGGCAAGUCUGAGCAGGUCCUUUAACCAUGCACCUCUGAGAUGCAAAUGUGUGGAAACAUGCACUGUCCAAAAAGGCUCCACUUUUAUUUUAAGAGAAAAGAAAGUGGAAAUAGGGUUAAGUUUAUCAGGAAAAUAGCAGAUGAUACAGUUCACAAAGCCAUCAUCAGGACGUUUCCUAACCAGAAGCCGUGGGUGAAUAAAACCAUCAGUGACUCUCUGAAAUCCUACUCCACUGCCUAGGACGUCUAUAAAGCUGCAUCCUACAAUGAGCGCAGAGCAGUAAAAGAGGUGAAGCGGUGCUAUGGGAAGAAACUGGAGACACAGUUCCAACACAGGGCCCUAGGAGCCUAUGGCAGGGACUGAAAAUGAUCACGGACUACAAAUCACCAUCCUACAGAGCAGUAAAUAUGGACACUUCCCUGGCAGUUGAGCUGAACACCUGCUAUGCUCCUUUCGAGGCUGCAGAUAACGGUGCUAACAGGACUAGCAGCACACAUGCUGAGUGAGCAGGAGAGGAAAAUGCGUUCAUGAUCUCGGAGCACGAAACAAGGAAGGCGUUCAGUCGAGUGAACACCAGGAAGAGAGCAGGACCAGACGGCAUCACAGGCCGGGUCCUGAAGACCUUCGCUGACCAGCUAACACCUGUGUUCACCGAGCUAUUCAUCCUCUUUCUGGAGCAGUCUGUAAUCCCCACAUGCUUCAAACAAUCCUUCAUCGUUCCCUUCCUUAAAAAAAUCCCAGCCUGCAUGCCUAAAUAAAUAUCGCCCUGUAGCUUUGACCUCCGUCGUAAUGAAGUGCUUUGAAAGACUAGUCAGAGACUUCAUCAUCUCCUCACUGCCUGAUACACUAAAUCCCCUUCAGUUCACCUACCGUCCCAACCGCUCCACCGAGGACGCCAUUGCAUACGUUCACCUCAUCGCCCUAAGCCACCUGGACAGCAAAAAUGGGGAAUAUAAGAAAAGAUGUUUUUAAACUACAGUUCAGCAUUUAAUACCAUAAUUCCAUCCACACUCACCUCAAAAUUUGAAGGACUGGGACUACCGUAUGUGUCACUGGCUAUCCAACUUCCUGUCAGACAGACCACAAGCAUUUCGGGUGGGAAAACAUGUCUCAUCCCUGCCUUUAAAAUGUCCAUUCCACCUCAUUUAUUAUCCUAAAUUAGAUGCACCUGUUUGAGGUCGUUAGCUGCAUAAAGUCCACCUGUCCACCCCAUACAAUCAGUAAGAAUCCAACUACUAACAUGGCCAAGACCAAAGAGCUGUCCAAAGACACUAGAGACAAAAUUGUACACCUCCACAAGGCUGGAAAGGGCUACGGGGAAAUUGCCAAGCAGCUUGGUGAAAAAAGGUCCACUGUUGGAGCAAGCAUUAGAAAAUGGAAGAAGCUAAACAUGACUGUCAAUCUCACUCAGACUGGGGCUCCAUGCAAGAUCUCACCUCGUGAGGUCUCAAUGAUCCCAAGAAAGGUGAGAUAUCAGCCCAGAACUACACGGGAGGAGCUGGUCAAUGACCUGAAAAGAGCUGGGACCACCGUUUCCAAGGAUACUGUUGGUAAUACACUAAGACGUCAUGUUUUGAAAUCGUGCAUGGCACGGAAGGUUCCCCUGCUUAAACCAGCACAUGUCCAGGCCUGUCUUAAGUUUGCCAAUGACCAUUUGGAUGAUCCAGAGGAGUCAUGGGAGAAAGUCAUGUGGUCAGAUGAGACCAAAAUAGAACUUUUUGGUCAUAAUUCCACUAAACGUGUUCGGAGGAAGAAGAAUGAUGAGUACCAUCCCAAGAACACCAUCCCUACUGUGAAGUAUGGGGGUGGUAGCAUCAUGCUUUGGGGGUGUUUUUCUGCACAUGGGACAGGGUGACUGCACUGUAUUAUGGAGAGGAUGAACGGGGCCAUGUAUUGCGAGAUUUUGGGGAACAACCUCCUUCGCUCAGUUAGAGCAUUGAAGAUGGGUCGAGGCUGGGUCUUCUAACAUGACAAUGACCCGAAGCACACAGCCACAAUAACCAAGAAGUGGCUCUGUAAGAAGCAUAUCAAGGUUCUGGCGUGGCCUAGCCAGUCUCCAGACCUAAACCCAAUAGAGAAUCUUUGGAGAGAGCUCAAACUCCGUGUU